UUUGCAGCUCUUUCCGUCCUUAAUUGCCUCUCAUUCUGUUCAUCUCAAACACCAGCAGGUCCAUCUCUUCCUAAGCAGCAGAUCUAAGUUAGGAACAUGAAUAAAACCACGAGAAAUAAACAAAAAGCCUCGGAAAUACCAGCAGCAGCAGCAGCAUCCGCAAGAGAUAAAGAAAAAGAAGAAGAAAAAGAGAAACAGAUCAAAUCUUCAAGCCUCCCAGAUGAUGCAAUUCUUCACAUCCUAUCAAUGUUACAUGUAAAAUCAGUAUUAAGAUUCAGGUGUGUAUGCAAACACUGGUGCUAUAAUUUGUUGAAAGACCCAAAUCUUGUUAAAUCUCAUCUCAAUAAUUUAUUAAUUGGGAUUUUCGUGGGGAGACCAAAGCCAUUAUCUGCUGUUAAAGCUGAAGUCUCAAAGAUUUGGGAGCUUAAAAACGAGGUAACAAUUUCAAUCCACAACCAUACUAGCUUCAUUUUUGAUUUCGAGAACAGCGAUGAUUGCAAAUGGGUGUUAGGACAAGACUCCACUAUUUACAUAUCUAAGAGCCUCUUUGUCAUAAGACCAUGCUCUCCUUUAAUCCAAAAGAAUCUCUCCGAUUUGGAGACAAUUCCAAUAUGGGUGUUGAUACAUGGUGUACCUCUUCACAUGUGGAAUAAUAAAGGGCUUGGCAUGAUCUCUAGCUACUUAGGUGUACCUCUAAUGGCGGAUGAUAUUACUAUUAACAUGACCAGAUUAUCUUAUGCUAGAGUGUGGGUUGUAAUUGAUCUUGAUUUCGAUUAUCCUAGUCAUAAACCUUUGUUGAUUGAUCACACGAUUGAGAUGGAACUUCCUGUUAAGUACCAAUUUAAGCCCCCCAAAUGUGAUGGUUGCAAAACUUUUGGUCACUCUCCAUCCAACUGCCCAAAGAGAGGUCACGAAAAGAAGGGUAAAGCUAUUUGGAUUCCUAAAACGAAUCUACUAGCUAACAAGGAGCAGUUGAAUCGUAGUCGUGGCGGUUCACGGACAAUGGAGAAUGGUGGUAAUUGUUCUAAUGAGAACUUGGAAGAAGCUAAUGAAGGCUUAAAUGUAGGAGUUAUAGACAAUCUAACCAGAAGAAUGGGCAAAAUCAGCUCACAUUAAUGAAUGGUGGUGAAAGGGUUUUGCAAGGCUUAAUUGGAAUAAGAACCUAGCAAUAAUUAUACAAACUUAAGUAAGACGUGGGAAAAGAACCUCAGCGGAGAAAAGACGGCUAUUUUUAGUCGGAUUUUGGUUGGUUUGUCUUGGUUGCUGUUAGUGUUUAUCUCUGCUUGCCUUGUGUUAUUUAUUGUUAGUGUUAUCUUUGCUUGCCAUGUGAAUUGGCUCCUCUGCCAUUCUCUGUUGCUGCUCUUCUUCUUUUCUUGUAUUUCUUUCUGUCAAUAAAAUUAUAGCAUCCAGAAUCAUAACUUCACUUUACUUAUUUUCUACUACCCCAUGAAAAAAACUCCACCAAAAGUAAAAUAUAUGGUAGGAAUACCAUGUUCACGAUUAUGAGUGGUGGAAUGCUUCUUUUACCUUUCCAAUGGGUCAUCAAAUUCUGCUUUUCUGUGAUGGGACCUUAAGAGGCAAUCCAGGUGCUACUGGGUAUUGAUUCAUUGGGAGAUGCAGUUCAGGUGAAUGCUGCGGCAAAUCAACAUUACCAUCCAAAUUUAAAAAGGAUGUUCUUGUCGUAGUUUUUUUUCGAUGUCGAGCAUGAUGUUUUCAGAUAAGUUCCACUUACUUAAAGGUUACAAGAAAUCUGUAUCCAAAUCUAAUACAUUGAGUUAAUGCAACAUUUCAGUUUUUUUUUUUCUUUUUU